UAGGGAAUAUUGCAAAAUGGGCGAAAGCCCGAUGCAGCAACGCCGCGUGGGCGAUGAAGGCCUUCGGGUCGUAAAGCCCUUUUUGAGGGGAUGAGGAAGGACAGUACCCUCAGAAUAAGCCUCGGCUAACUACGUGCCAGCAGCCGCGGUAAAACGUAGGAGGCGAGCGUUAUCCGGAUUUACUGUGCGUAAAGCGCGUGCAGGCGGAUUGGAGAGUUGGAUGUGAAAGCUCCCGGCUUAACUGGGAGAGGUCGUUAAAUACUUCCAGUCUUGAGUGCAGUAGAGGGAAGUGGAAUUCCGGGUGUAGUGGUGAAAUGCGUAGAUAUCCGGAGGAACACCAGUGGCGAAAGCGGCUUCCUGGACUUUAACUGACGCUCAGACUCGAAAGCUAGGGUAGCAAACG
rnacentral:rRNA from 1 species